AAGCCUGUUGCUAUUUCACCACCUGCUUUCAUAAUAAAAAAAAAUACACAAGACAUACCAAAGUUAGGUAAAUUGCACUGCCUGAUAUUUGGAAAUAAAUAAGAACUUGAGAAGUCAGUCCUUUGAAAUUAAAUGUGGCAUAUGCAACUAUUAGGAUUUUGAACCCUGAAAUGGCGCAUACCAUAAGCGCAGUGACCUUGGAACAUUCAUCAAAUGGCCAUUGUAGUCCUGUGCAUCUACUACACAUGCUUCCCAAUACACGAGCAUACACAAAGAUCCCAAAGAAAAGGAAAUUUUAAUUCAAUUUAUGAUAAUUCCAAUAAGCAAUUCCAUUGAUCAAUAACACUAUGCAAUACGCCUGUCUAUAAGGUGAAAAGGGGAGAGGGGAGGGAAGGAGAAAUUAUUCAACUUAUUGUGUUUGGCAAGUUAAAAAUUAUUUAGUGAAGCCCUGUGGAAAUUUUGAAUUGUGUUUGGAUGAUAGAGAGGAGAGGAGAACUUUAAUUGUAGAAGACCAUAAACUCAUUAAUGAGAAAGGAUUCGUAUUAUAAUUGCCACUAAAAAAUGAGGUUAAAAAUGACAAGACAAUAGAAAAAGUCUCUCUCUAGGAGCUGAAAAUUUUUUACACCCUGAUUUUGGAUGUAAUCAAUUUCAACUUAUGAAGGGGAAUGAAGGAGAAUGACUACAUUCCUUUCUCCUCCACCACACCCACCCCCCCACCCCCCUCCCUUAAAAAAUUUAAAGGCCCAACAAGGGGAGAGGAGAAACCCCUUCCCCCUCAUUUUAGCCUUUGCCAUGCAUAGCUUUAGCAUUCUAAUGUCCAAACAAGAUUCCACACCAUGAUUCCCAUGAUCAACUAAGACUAAUUAAUUACAGAACUAUGAAGCAGACCAAGAAUUUCACCUCUUCGGGACUGAAUUGCAG
rnacentral:misc_RNA from 1 species